GGCAUGAGUUGUAAGGCAUGCAUACUUUGAAUCAGUGUAGAUGUUGACACCAGUUGCAAGGCCUUGGUCAGGUUCUGGUAAUAAAGUGGCUAGUGUAACGGAGCUCCCCGUACUCUGACCGAGUACCCUCUGUUAAAGGAUGCUCCUAGCGCUUCCUGAGGACUCCAAGCACUGCAGCGGACACCACAACCACAGCAGACUCCGCAACUGCUGUAGCUCGACUGGAGUCUCACCGUCUUCCUUCCACCCUGGAUCAGCUUCUGUCCUCCAGGAUCGCGUGGGAAAUACCUCUUCCUUCCACCCUGUAUGAACCUCCAGCAUCCAGGACUGUGUGGGGAAGAUCUCUCCUCCAAGGAGAGCGUGUCAGGAACAAGCUCUUAAAAGAGUUAAGUGAUUCAAGCUCAGGGGAGUAUGCAGAGCAUAGCAAUCCCCAGUGUGAUUAUAACAGCUCCCUCCAAUAAUGAGACAAGGCUACAUUUAGAGGGAUCAAGAAGAACUCAGUAAAAUUACAAACAGCCAAAUCAUAGCAGACAACAUACAGUGACUUAUUAUAACACAAUGGCAUAUUUUUAAAGGGAUGGGGGAGACAAUAUUUAACAGAAAAUAUCUCACAUGCCUGCAGAAUAAGCAAUAUGCAAAUCUACCCGAAUAUGCUGUAACCGCAAGUGGUUCCCUUAUUUACCACUAUAAUGUCUUAAAGCAUAGAACUUAGUAAGGCUAACCAUACAGAUAUCUUAGCCAUAAUUUU